rnacentral:rRNA from 1 species
UACGUAGGGUGCGAGCGUUGUCCGGAAUUACUGGGCGUAAAGAGCUCGUAGGCGGUUUGUCGCGUCUGCCGUGAAAGUCCGGGGCUCAACUCCGGAUCUGCGGUGGGUACGGGCAGACUAGAGUGCAGUAGGGGAGACUGGAAUUCCUGGUGUAGCGGUGAAAUGCGCAGAUAUCAGGAGGAACACCGAUGGCGAAGGCAGGUCUCUGGGCUGUAACUGACGCUGAGGAGCGAAAGCAUGGGGGAGCGAACAGG